rnacentral:rRNA from 1 species
GUGAACGCUGGCGGUAGGCCUAACACCUGCAAGUCGAACGGCAGCACAGUAAGAGCUUGCUCUUACGGGUGGCGAGUGGCGGACAGGUGAGGAAUACAUCGGAAUCUACUUUUUCGUGGGGGAUAACGUAGGGAAACUUACGCUAAUACCGCAUACGACCUACGAGUGAAAGCAGGGGAUCUUCGGACCUUGCGCGAUUGAAUGAGCCGAUGUCGGAUUAGCUAGUUGGCGGGGUAAAGGCCCACCAAGGCGACGAUCCGUAGCUGGUCUGAGAGGAUGAUCAGCCACACUGGAACUGAGACACGGUCCAGACUCCUACGGGAGGCAGCAGUGGGGAAUAUUGGACAAUGGGCGCAAGCCUGAUCCAGCCAUACCGCGUGGGUGAAGAAGGCCUUCGGGUUGUAAAGCCCUUUUGUUGGGAAAGAAAAGCAGCAGGUUAAUACCCCGCUGUUCUGACGGUACCCAAAGAAUAAGCACCGGCUAACUUCGUG